GGGGUAGCUCAGUUGGCAGAGCGUCGGACUGUUAAUCCGCAGGUCGUGGGUUCGAGCCCCACCC
rnacentral:tRNA from 1 species